rnacentral:tRNA from 1 species
GGUGGCUCAGUGGUAGAGCACUUGCCUUGCGUGCAUGAGGUCCUGGGUUCGAUUCCUCAGCACCA